rnacentral:rRNA from 1 species
UAAUACGGAGGGUGCGAGCGUUAAUCGGAAUUACUGGGCGUAAAGCGCGCGUAGGUGGCUUGAUAAGCCGGUUGUGAAAGCCCCGGGCUCAACCUGGGAACGGCAUCCGGAACUGUCAGGCUAGAGUGCAGGAGAGGAAGGUAGAAUUCCCGGUGUAGCGGUGAAAUGCGUAGAGAUCGGGAGGAAUACCAGUGGCGAAGGCGGCCUUCUGGACUGACACUGACACUGAGGUGCGAAAGCGUGGGUAGCAAACAGGAUUAGAUACCCUGGUAGUCCACGCCGUAAACGAUGUCGACUAGCCGUUGGGUCCUUCGCGGACUUUGUGGCGCAGUUAACGCGAUAAGUCGACCGCCUGGGGAGUACGGCCGCAAGGUUA